rnacentral:rRNA from 1 species
UACGUAGGUGGCAAGCGUUGUCCGGAAUUAUUGGGCGUAAAGCGCGCGCAGGCGGUCCUUUAAGUCUGAUGUGAAAGCCCACGGCUCAACCGUGGAGGGUCAUUGGAAACUGGGGGACUUGAGUACAGAAGAGAAGAGUGGAAUUCCACGUGUAGCGGUGAAAUGCGUAGAGAUGUGGAGGAACACCAGUGGCGAAGGCGACUCUCUGGGACGGUACUGACGCUGAGACGCGAAAGCGUGGGGAGCAAACAGG